UACGUAGGGUGCGAGCGUUGUCCGGAAUUACUGGGCGUAAAGAGCUCGUAGGCGGUUUGUCGCGUCUGCUGUGAAAACCCGAGGCUCAACCUCGGGCCUGCAGUGGGUACGGGCAGACUAGAGUGCGGUAGGGGAGAAUGGAAUUCCUGGUGUAGCGGUGGAAUGCGCAGAUAUCAGGAGGAACACCGAUGGCGAAGGCAGUUCUCUGGGCCGUAACUGACGCUGAGGAGCGAAAGCGUGGGGAGCGAACAGG
rnacentral:rRNA from 1 species